rnacentral:rRNA from 1 species
GACAGAGGGUGCAAACGUUGUUCGGAAUUACUGGGCGUAAAGCGCGUGUAGGCGGCCCUGUAAGUCGGGUGUGAAAUCCCACGGCUCAACCGUGGAAGUGCAUUCGAAACUACAGGGCUAGAGUUCUGGGAGAGGAAGGUGGAAUGCUUGGUGUAGAGGUGAAAUUCGUAGAUAGUACAAGCGGGAACACCGGAUGGCGAAGGCGGCCUUCUGGACAGUAACUGACGCUGAGACGCGAAAGCGUGGGGAGCAAACAGG